ACGUGUGGCCCCGCCUCCGGGCGGCGGUUCCGCGCGUUUUUUAAAUUUUGGCGCCGCCCGAGGAACUGCGAUCUAGUAUUUUUUUUUCUGAGAACAGUCUGAGGGAGGGAAGCCGUCAACGUCAACAAGAGAGACCAGUUGGCAAAAGACAAUAUCAGAUUAGGAAACGAAACCAAGUAUGGAGAGAGAAAAAAAACAAUCAUACCCCUGGAGAAAAUAUUAUUGACUGUAAACAUGUGCCGCCACCUCGUUGUCACACAGAGUUUUCACUUUUAAAUCCGUACAUUUCGAACAUCUCCUUUCCUACGCAGAGACAAAAUUCAUUUUAACGCCAGGUAGACAAAAAUGCUGGAGAAACUCAGCGGGUGAGGCAGCAUCUAUGGAACGAAGGAAUAGGUGACGUUUCGGGUUGAGACCUUCAGACUGAAAAGACAUUUACUUUUGAAAAUCCUGCAGAAAAAGUAAUUUUGUUAUUGUGAGUUAAAAACUCUAAACCCUUAACCCCUUCCCCCCCAUUGACACAAUUGUUUUUAUAAUGCAAUUUUCUAUGAGGAGGUUCAUAUGAAAGCAACUUGCGUUUUAGCAGAACCAUUUGUCCCCUAGUUAUUGACUUAUUUAGUUAUUGUUUUCUUUAAAAGGUCCUUUCCCUUUUACUGUUUAUACCUAAUUUAUAUCUAUAAACAGUUAACUACAAUUAACUUCCCACUCCCCUCCUUCCCGCUUAGUCUUUGUUCCAAAUCUCUACCCUUCUCGGUAUUUAGAUUCAAAUUUGAAGGAGCCACUGGAUCCCGGAACUCCCGUGCGGCAGCAAGGUUUAACUCUUUUCACUGAGGUGGAGUGAAAAUAAUGAGAGGAAAAGAUAGAAAAAAAAUGUAGGAUUAUAUAAACAUUCAUGUCAAACGGUAUUUCAAGUAUGAUGUAUUUAGUUUGCAGCAACAACUCACUUUGAUUUUAAAUCAUUAAAUCUUUGAAAAUGGUGAUCUUGUUGAAUUCCAAAGUCUGAUUGCCAGUUUCUCCUAAAAAGGGAAUGUUUAUUGAAGAGAUUCUUUAGUCUGCAUAAAGUGCGCUUGUCAUCCGCUUGUGGGCAGAUUACACAUUUUCUGUGUCAGUUGGACA